GCGCCCGUAGCUCAAUUGGAUAGAGCACUAGACUACGGAUCUAACGGUUAGGAGUUCGAAUCUCUUCGGGCGCGCCA
rnacentral:tRNA from 1 species